UACGGGGGGGGGCAAGCGUUUGUUCGGAAUUACUGGGCGUAAAGGGCUCGUAGGUGGCCAACUAAGUCAGACGUGAAAUCCCUCGGCUUAACCGGGGAACUGCGUCUGAUACUGGAUGGCUGGAGUUUGGGAGAGGGAUGCGGAAUUCCAGGUGUAGCGGUGAAAUGCGUAGAUAUCUGGAGGAACACCGGUGGCGAAGGCGGGUCUCUGGGCAGUAACUGACGCUGGAGGAGCGAAAGGCGUGGGGAGCGAACAGG
rnacentral:rRNA from 1 species